UGCUUCCCCUCAGUUAUACCUGUGCUGUAAUUAACAGUAUCAACAGAAAAAGGUGUGUUUGACUAUGGUCAAUAGCUGAGUAAAUUUAUGAACAUGAGAAAAAGGAGAAAAAAUAAUGUUUAUUUUGUUGUGAGCUUUGGGCUUUUCUCUAGAAGUUACAGAAUAUUGGGCCAUGUAUGUUAAUAAAGUUGCAGAGAUCUUGCGAAUGAUAUGAAGGUUUAGGGGAAUAAAGUUAACCUUAAAUUUAUAUCCGUAAUUUUUAGCGUGUAACUUGGGGAUAUGGAAUUAUCCUAAUGCUAGUUUUACAAAAGUGAAUUUUAGCUGGAAGAAUAAGUCGCCU
rnacentral:lncRNA from 1 species